AGAAAGGCAGGAACCUAGGAAGAAACCUAGAGAGGAACCAGGCUCUGAGGGGUGGCCAGUCCUCUUCUGUCUGUGCUUGUGGAGAUUAUAAAAGAGUACAGCCAUUUAGGCCAGAUUAUUCUUAAAGCUGUUUCAGCGUUCACAGAUGACCAGCAGUGUUAAAUAAUAGAGAGUGCAAUAGUUCAGCACCUCAGGUGUAAAUGCCAGUUGGCUCUUCAUAGCUGAGCAUUUAGAGGUUGAGGCAGUAGGUCCAGUAGAGAGAGGCAGGAUCAAACAGCGGGUCUAGGACAAGGUAGUACCUCCGGUGAGCCUUGAGCAGGUCAGGGUUCCAUAGCUGCAGACAUAAACAGCAGAGACUGGAUCAGCAGCACGACCAGGUGGACUGGAGACGGGGAAAGCCAGGAGUCGUCAGGCCAGAAGGUCACACACGCAUAUCACAUUGCAAGGUCUGUUCUGUUUAGGUUAGUGUGUAGUCAAGGCUUUGCCAACCUGCUCGGUGGGUGACGGGUGACCGUCUUUCCACCAAGCUGUUCCAGGCCUGGAGUGGCACGCUGGAACUUCCAAAGGCUUGUAGACCUGAAGCAGUGUGAUGUGGUCCAGAUCUGCCACGCCCAGCAGUUCAGCUGCAGUCACAGCAGUCUUCUGCUGUGGUAGUUAAUUUACCAGCUGCACCAAUGCCUUCUACACUGGCCGUGAAAGGAGAAACUUAUGGGUAUUCCCAGAUGGAUACAGAUCUGCCAUGCACUCCACCACUGCCUGACAGCCUCACCCAGAAGUGCAUACACUGGGCCUAUCAGAGAUGGGUGUCUGACAAGGAAAAAUAAAACAUGCACACACACACACACAUCCACAAU